rnacentral:rRNA from 1 species
UACGAAGGGGGCUAGCGUUGCUCGGAAUCACUGGGCGUAAAGAGUGUGUAGGCGGUGCUCUAAGUUCGGUGUGAAAUCUCCCGGCUUAACUGGGAGGGUGCGCCGGAAACUGGAGUGCUCGAGCGUGGGAGAGGAAAGCGGAAUUCCUGGUGUAGCGGUGAAAUGCGUAGAUAUCAGGAGGAACACCUGCGGUGUAGACGGCUUUCUGGACCAUUGCUGACGCUGAGACACGAAAGCGUGGGUAGCAAACAGG